rnacentral:rRNA from 1 species
GCGGAGGAUCAUUACCGAGUGAGGGCCCUCUGGGUCCAACCUCCCACCCGUGUUUAUUUUACCUUGUUGCUUCGGCGGGCCCGCCUUAACUGGCCGCCGGGGGGCUUACGCCCCCGGGCCCGCGCCCGCCGAAGACACCCUCGAACUCUGUCUGAAGAUUGUAGUCUGAGUGAAAAUAUAAAUUAUUUAAAACUUUCAACAACGGAUCUCUUGGUUCCGGCAUCGAUGAAGAACGCAGCGAAAUGCGAUACGUAAUGUGAAUUGCAAAUUCAGUGAAUCAUCGAGUCUUUGAACGCACAUUGCGCCCCCUGGUAUUCCGGGGGGCAUGCCUGUCCGAGCGUCAUUUCUGCCCUCAAGCACGGCUUGUGUGUUGGGCCCCGUCCUCCGAUCCCGGGGGACGGGCCCGAAAGGCAGCGGCGGCACCGCGUCCGGUCCUCGAGCGUAUGGGGCUUUGUCACCCGCUCUGUAGGCCCGGCCGGCGCUUGCCGAUCAACCCAAAUUUUUAUCCAGGUUGACCUCGGAUCAGGUAGGGAUACCCGCUGAACUUAAGCAUAUCAAUAAGCGGA